GUUUUAGUAGUUUAAAAAAAACUUUGGUCUUGUAAAUCAAAAUUAAGGACUCAACCUUCUAAAACU
rnacentral:tRNA from 1 species